rnacentral:rRNA from 1 species
UACGUAGGGGGCUAGCGUUGUUCGGAAUUACUGGGCGUAAAGCGCACGUAGGCGGCUUUGUAAGUUAGAGGUGAAAGCCCGGAGCUUAACUCCGGAACUGCCUUUAAGACUGCAUCGCUAGAAUCGUGGAGAGGUGAGUGGAAUUCCGAGUGUAGAGGUGAAAUUCGUAGAUAUUCGGAAGAACACCAGUGGCGAAGGCGACUCACUGGACACGUAUUGACGCUGAGGUGCGAAAGCGUGGGGAGCAAACAGG